rnacentral:rRNA from 1 species
AGAGUUUGAUCAUGGCUCAGAACGUACGCUGGCGGCACGCCUAACACAUGCAAGUCGAACGAAGUAGCAAUACUUAGUGGCAGACGGGUGAGUAACAUGUAGGUAUCUGCCCUUUGGCCUGGAAUAACACGAGGAAACUUGUGCUAAUACCGGAUAAGUCUUUACGGAGAAAGCUUUAUGCACCAUUGGAUGAGCCUGCACUUGAUUAGUUUGUUGGUGGGGUAAUGGCCUACCAAGACUGUGAUCAAUAGCUGAUUUGAGAGGAUGAUCAGCCACAUUGGGACUGAGACACGGCCCAAACUCCUACGGGAGGCAGCAGUGGGGAAUCUUGCACAAUGGAGGAAACUCUGAUGCAGCGAUGCCGCGUGAGUGAAGAAGGCCUUUGGGUUGUAAAGCUCUUUCGUCGGGGAAGAAAAUGACUGUACCCGAAUAAGAAGGUCCGGCUAACUUCGUGCCAGCAGCCGCGGUAAUACGAAGGGACCUAGCGUAGUUCGGAAUUACUGGGCUUAAAGAGUUCGUAGGUGGUUGAAAAAGUUGGUGGUGAAAUCCCAGAGCUUAACUCUGGAACUGCCAUCAAAACUUUUCAGCUAGAGUAUGAUAGAGGAAAGCAGAAUUUCUAGUGUAGAGGUGAAAUUCGUAGAUAUUAGAAAGAAUACCAAUUGCGAAGGCAGCUUUCUGGAUCAUUACUGACACUGAGGAACGAAAGCAUGGGUAGCGAAGAGGAUUAGAUACCCUCGUAGUCCAUGCCGUAAACGAUGUGUGCUAGACGUUGGAAAUAUAUUUUUCAGUGUCGCAGCGAAAGCAUUAAGCACACCGCCUGGGGAGUACGACCGCAAGGUUAAAACUCAAAUGAAUUGACGGGGACCCGCACAAGUAGUGGAGCAUGUGGUUUAAUUCGAAGAUACGCGCAGAACCUUACCAACACUUGACAUGUUCGUCGCGACUCUAAGAGAUUAGAGUUUUCGGUUCGGCCGGACGAAACACAGGUGCUGCAUGGCUGUCGUCAGCUCGUGUCGUGAGAUGUUGGGUUAAGUCCCGCAACGAGCGCAACCCUCACUUUUAGUUGCCAUCAUUAAGUUGGGCACUCUGAAAGAACUGCCAGUGAUAAGCUGGAGGAAGGUGGGGAUGACGUCAAGUCCUCAUGGCCCUUACGUGUUGGGCUACACACGUGCUACAAUGGCAUCUACAACAGGAAGCAAAACGGCAACGUUAAGCAAAUCCCGAAAAGAUGCCUCAGUUCGGAUUGCACUCUGCAACUCGAGUGCAUGAAGCUGGAAUUACUAGUAAUCGUGGAUCAGCGUGCCACGGUGAAUGCGUUCCCGGGUCUUGUACACACCGCCCGUCACACCAUGGGAGUUGGUUCUACCUUAAGGCAAGGUUUUAAACCCUUGACCACGGUAUAGUCAGCGACUGGGGUGAAGUCGUAACAAGGUAGCCGUAGGGGAACCUGCGGCUG